rnacentral:rRNA from 1 species
UACGAAGGGGGCGAGCGUUGUCCGGAUUUAUUGGGCGUAAAGAGCUCGUAGGCGGUUCGAUAAGUCGGCUGUGAAAUCUCCACGCUUAACGUGGAGGGGUCAGUCGAUACUGUCGUGACUCGAGUCCGGUAGGGGAGAAUGGAAUUCCCGGUGUAGCGGUGAAAUGCGCAGAGAUCGGGAGGAACACCCGUAGCGAAGGCGGUUCUCUGGGCCGGUACUGACGCUGAGGAGCGAAAGCGUGGGGAGCAAACAGG